GUAUCUGCUCCUGUUGAUUUGCAUACACAAAGUGUGUGGUGAGUUCCCUGUAGAUAUAAGAUGCUAUAAAUGUUCUAUUUCCUAUGUGACGUCUCAGUGAUCUGCACCUGACACUGCUCCUACUGUCAGUAUGGGGAGAUACUUACUGCUUGUCCUCUCCACUCUCUUCUCUCUCACUGUUCCAGGUUCCUAUGGGCAGAUUGUACUGACUCAGUCUCCAGAUUAUGUCUCUGUGUCACCAGGAGAAACUGUCACCAUCACAUGUAAAGCCAGUAGCAGUGUUUAUAACUAUAUAGCCUGGUACCAACGGAAAUCAGGGCAGGCACCAAAGCUGCUGAUCUAUGCUGCAAGCACCCGACACACAGGGACCCCAGAGCGGAUCAGCGGCAGUAGGUCUGGAACAGAUUACUCUCUUACAAUCAGCAGAAUGGAAGCAGAAGAUGCAGCAGAUUAUUACUGUCAGCAGCAUUACAAUUCCCCUCUCACACAGUGAUACAGAGCUGAACAAAAACCUCCCUGUUACUGUGCCAGUGAGUUAUUUACAUGUUACUCUAUAAAGCUACAGAGCAUGACAUGAUAUUCUCAGUAGGGGAAGACUUGAGCUCUAUAGAAUUAUAAUUGCUAGGCAUCAGUUUGAUUAAUAAAAAAAAAACUUAAAUGGAGGCUGAUAAAUUCUAACCAAUUUGAUCCCUAUGAUCUCAAGAUGUCUUGGAAAUGAUUUUAUUUAUUUUCAUCCUUGAAGACGGGCCAAACCC